CAACGAUUUUGACCACGUGUGCGUGUCGUGUCGCUUUAAACAUGACGUCAUGCCGAUACAUCGAGGAUGACGUAUCAGUCAUUGGCUUGGCUGCAUGGGAACAUGUCGGAAACGACUUGCGCAGACAGCAAAACACGUCGAUGGUCGCAAGCGUUGAGUGUGACGUUUGCUGCUUGCUUGACUGCUCUGAGCGCCGAUGACGCCACCGUUGCCGUUGCUGCUGCCCAGGUGGUUGCUGAGUUUUGAGCGCUACCUUCAUGUUAGCUCGCAGUCGUCCCUGGCAAGGUUCUCCCUCCGUAAUGUUGAAUGAGGAAGCCGAUGGUGAUCGUCUGCAGCAUGACGAAGAGCGCCUCGCCCCAAGCGCUGCCAAAACGAACACGAAGCGGACAGGUGAGUCGAUUUCCAGCGGGGAAAUCGGGCUGAG